UACAGAGGAGCCAAGCGUUGUCCGGAUUGACUGGGCGUAAAGCGCACGCAGGCGGAUGCGCGCGUGGGGUGUGAAAUCUGGCCGCUUAACGGCCAGGCGCCAUCCCAUACGGCGUGUCUGGAGGGCUGCAGAGGUCGAUGGAAUUGCCGGUGUAGUGGUGAAAAUGCGUAGAGAUCGGCAGGAACACCCAGGGGGAAACCAGUCGACUGGG
rnacentral:rRNA from 1 species